AACUGAUGCAUUCUGGAGAGGUGAACUGAUGCAUUCUGGAGAGGUGAACAGAUGCAUUCUGGAGAGCUGAACUGAUGCAUUCUGGAGAGGUGAACUGAUGCAUUCUGGGGAGUUGAACAGAUGCAUUCUGGAGAGGUGAACAGAUGCAUUCUGGGGAGGUGAACAGAUGCAUUCUGGGGAGGUGAACUGAUGCAUUCUGGGGAGGUGAACUGAUGCAUUCUGGAGAGCUGAACUGAUGCAUUCUGGAGAGCUGAACUGAUGCAUUCUGGAGAGGUGAACAGAUGCAUUCUGGGGAGGUGAACAGAUGCAUUCUGGGGAGCUGAACAGAUGCAUUCUGGAGAGCUGAACAGAUGCAUUCUGGAGAGGUGAACUGAUGCAUUCUGGAGAGGUGAACAGAUGCAUUCUGGGGAGGUGAACAGAUGCAUUCUGGAGAGGUGAACAGAUGCAUUCUGGGGAGGUGAACUGAUGCAUUCUGGGGAGGUGAACUGAUGCAUUCUGGGGAGGUGAACUGAUGCAUUCUGGAGAGCUGAACUGAUGCAUUCUGGAGAGCUGAACUGAUGCAUUCUGGAGAGGUGAACAGAUGCAUUCUGGAGAGGUGAACAGAUGCAUUCUGGGGAGGUGAACUGAUGCAUUCUGGAGAGGUGAACAGAUGCAUUCUGGGGAGAUGAACUGAUGCAUUCUGGAGAGGUGAACAGAUGCAUUCUGGAGAGCUGAACAGAUGCAUUCUGGAGAGGUGAACAGAUGCAUUCUGGAGAGGUGAACAGAUGCAUUCUGGAGAGGUGAACAGAUGCAUUCUGGGGAGGUGAACUGAUGCAUUCUGGGGAGGUGAACUGAUGCAUUCUGGGGAGGUGAACUGAUGCAUUCUGGAGAGCUGAACUGAUGCAUUCUGGAGAGGUGAACAGAUGCAUUCUGGAGAGGUGAACAGAUGCAUUCUGGGGAGGUGAACAGAUGCAUUCUGGAGAGAUGAACUGAUGCAUUCUGGAGAGGUGAACAGAUGCAUUCUGGAGAGCUGAACUGAUGCAUUCUGGAGAGGUGAACAGAUGCAUUCUGGAGAGGUGAACAGAUGCAUUCUGGAGAGGUGAACAGAUGCAUUCUGGGGAGGUGAACUGAUGCAUUCUGGAGAGGUGAACAGAUGCAUUCUGGGGAGGUGAACUGAUGCAUUCUGGAGAGGUGAACAGAUGCAUUCUGGAGAGGUGAACAGAUGCAUUCUGGGGAGGUGAACUGAUGCAUUCUGGAGAGGUGAACAGAUGCAUUCUGGGGAGGUGAACAGAUGCAUUCUGGAGAGGUGAACAGAUGCAUUCUGGGGAGGUGAACUGAUGCAUUCUGGGGAGGUGAACUGAUGCAUUCUGGGGAGGUGAACUGAUGCAUUCUGGAGAGCUGAACUGAUGCAUUCUGGAGAGGUGAACAGAUGCAUUCUGGAGAGGUGAACAGAUGCAUUCUGGGGAGGUGAACAGAUGCAUUCUGGGGAGGUGAACAGAUGCAUUCUGGGGAGGUGAACUGAUGCAUUCUGGAGAGGUGAACUGAUGCAUUCUGGAGAGGUGAACAGAUGCAUUCUGGGGAGAUGAACUGAUGCAUUCUGGAGAGGUGAACAGAUGCAUUCUGGAGAGCUGAACAGAUGCAUUCUGGAGAGGUGAACAGAUGCAUUCUGGAGAGGUGAACAGAUGCAUUCUGGAGAGGUGAACAGAUGCAUUCUGGAGAGGUGAACAGAUGCAUUCUGGGGAGGUGAACUGAUGCAUUCUGGAGAGAUGAACUGAUGCAUUCUGGAGAGGUGAACAGAUGCAUUCUGGAGAGCUGAACUGAUGCAUUCUGGAGAGGUGAACAGAUGCAUUCUGGAGAGGUGAACAGAUGCAUUCUGGAGAGGUGAACAGAUGCAUUCUGGGGAGGUGAACUGAUGCAUUCUGGAGAGGUGAACUGAUGCAUUCUGGAGAGGUGAACAGAUGCAUUCUGGGGAGGUGAACUGAUGCAUUCUGGAGAGGUGAACAGAUGCAUUCUGGAGAGGUGAACAGAUGCAUUCUGGGGAGGUGAACUGAUGCAUUCUGGAGAGGUGAACAGAUGCAUUCUGGGGAGGUGAACAGAUGCAUUCUGGAGAGGUGAACAGAUGCAUUCUGGGGAGGUGAACUGAUGCAUUCUGGGGAGGUGAACUGAUGCAUUCUGGGGAGGUGAACUGAUGCAUUCUGGAGAGCUGAACUGAUGCAUUCUGGAGAGGUGAACAGAUGCAUUCUGGAGAGGUGAACAGAUGCAUUCUGGGGAGGUGAACAGAUGCAUUCUGGGGAGGUGAACAGAUGCAUUCUGGGGAGGUGAACAGAUGCAUUCUGGGGAGGUGAACUGAUGCAUUCUGGAGAGCUGAACUGAUGCAUUCUGGAGAGGUGAACAGAUGCAUUCUGGAGAGGUGAACAGAUGCAUUCUGGAGAGGUGAACAGAUGCAUUCUGGAGAGGUGAACAGAUGCAUUCUGGAGAG